rnacentral:rRNA from 1 species
GUCCUGGCCCUAAACGGUGCACGUUUGCUGUAAAGGAAUCGACCCUUUGUGGCGUAGCCAACGCGUUAAACGUGCCGCCUGGGAAGUACGGUCGCAAGAUUAAACUCAAAGAAAUUGACGGGGCCUGCACAAGCGGUGGAGUAUGUGGCUCAAUUCGAUGCAACGCGAAGAACCUUACCUGGCCUUGACAUGCAAGUGGUAGAAGGAUGAAAGUCUGACGACCCCGCAAGGGGAGCUUGCACAGGUGCUGCAUGGCUGUCGU